rnacentral:rRNA from 1 species
AUUGAACGCUGGCGGCAGGCCUAACACAUGCAAGUCGAGCGGAUGAAGGGAGCUUGCUCCUGGAUUCAGCGGCGGACGGGUGAGUAAUGCCUAGGAAUCUGCCUGGUAGUGGGGGAUAACGUCCGGAAACGGGCGCUAAUACCGCAUACGUCCUGAGGGAGAAAGUGGGGGAUCUUCGGACCUCACGCUAUCAGAUGAGCCUAGGUCGGAUUAGCUAGUUGGUGGGGUAGAGGCCUACCAAGGCGACGAUCCGUAACUGGUCUGAGAGGAUGAUCAGUCACACUGGAACUGAGACACGGUCCAGACUCCUACGGGAGGCAGCAGUGGGGAAUAUUGGACAAUGGGCGAAAGCCUGAUCCAGCCAUGCCGCGUGUGUGAAGAAGGUCUUCGGAUUGUAAAGCGCUUUAAGUUGGGAGGAAGGGCAGUAAGUUAAUACCUUGCUGUUUUGACGUUACCAACAGAAUAAGCACCGGCUAACUUCGUG